GUAACUGUACGUACUUGUUGUUGCUAGAGCGGGAGACAGAUGGCGAAGGAUAAUGUGUACCAUAGCUGAACCUUUUUCCCUCUCGAGCGCCAUUAACUGCACUUCGAGCGGAACUAUGUGGAAGCUUCAUAGAAGAGCGUGCACUCAGUUGAUAUUUCUCAUGUCGCAGUGAACAUGUCACGGGGCAGUGAGUGGCCGUGUUGUAGCGUUGCAUAAAUAUUCGACUGACUUUAGGUUAAUGGUGAAACUUUAUACGAUGUUUAUAAUAUAUUGUACGUAGUAUAUGUAUAAUUUUAUCUUCUUAUAAGUGCCUAAAGUGUCGAGAAGAAUACGAAUUUAAGGCUAGUUCGUCAGGAUAUGAAAAUAGUCAUUCUUUGAAAACGGUUAUUUAACAUUAGUCACUGUAUCAAAAUAGUGCAGUGCGAUGAUCACGAUGCCUUUUCUCACCGGGAUGAUACACUCGACGAGAAAAGUUUUCAGUAACUCGAGAAUCGGCCAACUCGAGAAGCUCCAGUCAUUGGCCAAGCUCCGCGUACGCGGGAGCGAGAGACGGCGUGGGAUGGUUGAAUAAAAGAAUGAAGGAAAAACUGGAGGAAGAUAGAAAAUGAGAAAGGUGGACCCGAGGACUCAAGGUCGGGCGUAGAAACGGGCGCUGUCCUCUUAAGGGUGGUUAUGAUUCUGGGUGGUUUCGGCGGAACAACCCCAAGACUUGGAAGUUUGACGGAAGACGGUGGAUUCUGUUGCCGAUUCGUGCUCGCCGAAUAAACGUGCAAUUGGGUCGAGGCGACGUUCGGCUGAGACGAGUGUCGAAGAUUCCCAUCCUGAUUGCGACUUGGGAUUUGAGGAUUGGAGUACUGCCUCCGAUGCAAGGACUUGACAGCUAAAUUUUUCAUUGUCUUUGGGUAAGCAUCGUCCUUGCAGCGAUUGGCAAUAUUGGGCAAUUGCGUUAGGUAUCCGUCCGUUGAAUCUGCUUGGCUGACAUUCCGUUUACGCGGACAUCCUGCGAGCUGAGGAAUGGCUUAACCGGAAGCGCAUAUAUGGGAUCGCUGUAAAUAUUUCCGGUAUUCUCGGCCUUCUG